rnacentral:rRNA from 1 species
UGGGGAAUAUUGCACAAUGGGCGCAAGCCUGAUGCAGCCAUGCCGCGUGUGUGAAGAAGGCCUUCGGGUUGUAAAGCACUUUCAGCGAGGAGGAAGGUGGUGAGCUUAAUACGCUCAUCAAUUGACGUUACUCGCAGAAGAAGCACCGGCUAACUCCGUGCCAGCAGCCGCGGUAAUACGGAGGGUGCAAGCGUUAAUCGGAAUUACUGGGCGUAAAGCGCACGCAGGCGGUUUGUUAAGUCAGAUGUGAAAUCCCCGGGCUCAACCUGGGAACUGCAUUUGAAACUGGCAAGCUAGAGUCUCGUAGAGGGGGGUAGAAUUCCAGGUGUAGCGGUGAAAUGCGUAGAGAUCUGGAGGAAUACCGGUGGCGAAGGCGGCCCCCCUGGACGAAGACUGACGCUCAGGUGCGAAAAGCGUGGGGCAGCAAACAGGAUUAGAUACCCUGGUAGUCCACGCUGUAAACGAUGUCGAUUUGGAGGUUGUGCCCCUUGAGGCGUGGCUUCCGGAGCUAACGNGUUAAAUCGACCGCCUGGGGAGUACGGCCGCAAGGUUAAAACUUAAAUGAAUUGACGGGUCUAGCUG